rnacentral:misc_RNA from 1 species
GGAACGAAGGACCCAAUCGAUCAACUUCUAGGAAAGGAAAAAAAUAAGUACCGAUCUUCGCGUCACCUCACCUCCUUCGGACCCUUGUCUUGCUUGGGCUAAUUAGAUAUCCCAAUUCGGAGUAAGCAGCCCGUUAAUGAAAGUGCGAUCCCAUGAUGUCGAGCAAGAUGACUCGUCCCCUCACUAAAGAUAGAAUGACCGGGGAUUGAACCUACAGUAGAUAGAUCAGAAGGAACUUCAAUAGUAGGUACAUCAAGAAUGGAACCCUAAAUACCGACGUGAAGGUGGAUACCGAGAGAGAAU